CAGCACCCACCAGUCACCGAUUCAACACAGCACCCACGUUCCUCCCAGUCUUCCACCCAGCCAUUGAUUCAAGUCAGAUAUGGAGCCCGAGCCACCGAGUCAGUUCAUCCUGAAAGUUGGAAUCCUAUGUGGUCUGUUUCAAGCAUACUCACAGGGCUUCUUUCAUUCAUGAUGGACAACAGCCCAACCACCGGUAGUGUAAACAUCACCUCCGCCGAGAAGCAGUGUUUAGCAAAUCCUCCCUUUCUUUCAAUUGCAAGAAGUAGGUCUAUUGCAUCAUCUUUUCCCAAGUCACCGUAGAAUUUAGCAAGGUCUCUACAAUUUGU